rnacentral:tRNA from 1 species
CAUCACCGUGGUGAGGAUCGCGUCGCCGGGCUGCAGUCGCGGCAAGGCAUAACUGUAGGCGACCAGGUUGAUCGCCUGGGUGGUGCC